ACAGUCAAAACACAUUUCUCAAUCUCUCAUAUCAAACACUAUUCACAUCCAUUUCAAUCCCUAAAUAAAAAAAUCAAUCCAAUCAACACAAUACUACCAGAUACAACAAACACUAAGGAUCUGAAUCAAUUUAAGACCUGGGCGCGGAGCCAAGUGUUGGGAACGGAGAGAGGUCCGUGUUUCUUGAAGACUUCGUAGAGAGAGCUGGAGAUGACGUGAGCUUCUUGGAUCGAGACCUUUGGGUUUAUCUUCCUCACGUUUACAGCUCGCUCUCUCGACAUGUAUCUCACUAGCAGAGAGUUACAGCUCAUCUCGUUCUCGAGAACAGUUGCGGAGGCUCUACAGAGCUUCCUCAGUCCUCCUCCGCCGCCGGUGAACCACAUUCUCUCUUCUUCUUCCUCGCCGUCACGUUCUCUCGCUUUUCUCUCGAUUUCGUUCGGCCGGUACUGAGUUAGGUCUCUCUCUCUCUUGCGUUGCUUUGAUAAUUUUUAAAACAAAAAGCCCAAUAGGCUAGGUUUGGCCCAUUUUAAGUCCAACGCUCUGUUACAAAAUCACCUGUUAGCUUAUCCAUAAUUAUCAUUCUGUGUUCCGACAAAUUAUUCAGUGACAAUCAUUCAAACUAAUAAACUUUGAGAUUGAAACACAUUCAUUUCCUCGGACACAGAAACAAAUACCAAAUGAAAACAAACACGCGAUUGUCCACAGGGAUCUUGUGGCAGAUCCUUAUUUGCUUCUUCUCUUUGAGAAGGCUUUUUUGUUCUUCUCAGCAGCAGCAGCAGCAGCAGCAACUGGUGGUGUCUCUUGUUGAGGAUCAUCAUCAGAUAAAACUGUGUGAAAGAACUUUUUAGAGGAACCAACAUGGUUACAGAUUAACUUGAGCAUCUUCCUCCCUCUCAUCCAUUUCAACAUCAGCUUCAUAUGAGUCUUGCUGUUCAAUCCACUUACCCCAGCUUCCUAUUAUCAAAUUUAACACACAGUCAAAACACAUUUCUCAAUCUCUCAUAUCAAACACUAUUCACAUCCAUUUCAAUCCCUAAAUAAAAAAAUCAAUCCAAUCAACACAAUACUACCAGAUACAACAAACACUAAGGAUCUGAAUCAAUUUAAGACCUGGGCGCGGAGCCAAGUGUUGGGAACGGAGAGAGGUCCGUGUUUCUUGAAGACUUCGUAGAGAGAGCUGGAGAUGACGUGAGCUU
rnacentral:lncRNA from 1 species